CCUAAGCAGUGGGGAGAAAAAAGAGAAAAAGUUAAGGCUUAUACUGUCAUAUGGUUUAUUUGGUACUGGAGAGAGAGAAUUUAAACUGAGGCAUAGUAGCUCAUACUUCUAACCCCAGCACUUUGGGAGGGUGAGGCAAGGAGACCACCUUAUUGAGGUUCUAGAUCAAUGUGGGCUACAUGGGCUUCAUCUCAACACUUCCAAAACAGUAAAGGAGUUUAAAAGACACACACCCCAAAAUACGAAAGGACAUUCAGAGAGAAACCUAUGGCUUCUUCCCGGGGUGCCUGUACAUCCACACACACUGAGGGCUAAGGAGUGUGUGGACCUAGCAAGCAGCAUGGCAACGAAGCAGCAGAGCAGCUCUGGCACCACACACUGACUCAAUCAGCCAGAGUCUAAGUUCUCCAAUCACGCUGGUCAGGUGUUCUAAAAAUGCCAAACAAGCACCGUCACCAGUCUGGCUUUUGCCAUCAGAAUGGACAUGGGAGCCAUCAGUACUCCAUUUGUGCUUGUUUUAUUUUAGACAGGAUCAUGUUAUGUAGCCUAGGAUAGUCUUGAACUCAAAGAUCAACCAUCUCUGCUCAAAAGUCCUGGGGCUAAGAAGGGAAUGGCACCAAGCCUGUCCCAGCAUUUCAUCUGUAACUGCUGACUCACUGUAUUAUACAAGUUCAUCGACCCAGUUAACGGUUGAAGAGCUUCUGACCAAUCUACAGUAAUACGAGAAACGCAGAUGUGAGUAUUUUCACACGGGCUUCUUCAUGAGUUAUCUCUUGAAUGACACAGAAGUUAAAUAUGUGUUUAGUAUUGUUCAAAACUGUCAGCUGUUCUUAAAAGUGGACUUUUAGACUUAGCUUUCAAGUUUACAGUUUACUGUUAAAGUGGCCAUUCAAAUCUUUUAUAUGCUUUUAUAAGGAGGUGUUAGGUUUCCAAUUGUUGAAUAAAAGGCUUUAAUAGACCUCGGAUAGUCUUCAUAAAAUAUGAACUAGGAAGGUGUAAAUUCUCCUUCCUUUAUGGUUUCCAUGUUAUUACACAUUUAUGUGUCCUUGGCAUCCACAAUGUCACAGGACACAUGUGAAGGUCAAAGGGUAACUUGGCAAAGUUAGUUCUCUCCCGCCAUGUGGGUAUCAGGGGCUGAACUCAGGUUAUCAGGUUUGGAGGCAAGUUCCUUAAUUCACUGAGCCAUCUUGCCAGACCCUUAAUUAUACUUUUAGAGACAUAUCUGAAAACUCCCCACCUAACACAUUUUCUCCUAUUUUUCUCUUAAAGUUUUGACAUCUAAUAUUUAGAACUAAGAUCUAUUUUGAAUUAAUAAAAAUGGGGAUAAGGACAAGUUUCUGCAUAGGGACAUUCAAUCGUUUAACAUUUGUUCAAAAUAAUCUACAUAUACUGCAUCCAUUGAAUUUCCCUCUAUAAAGGAGAAUAAAGUCACUCUCAUGUGCAGGUGCUGCUCUGCUCAUCUCCUUUCCACCCAUGUGCCAAUCACUGAUCCAAUAUAACACUACAAUGAUCCUUGGGGCUCUAGACUGUGUUUUAAAUUUUUAUUUAGAGUAAAUCUUGUUAUCAGGUAACUUGAGGCUUCCAAAUUACUGUUUUCAAAAACAUUCUUGGGAAGGCUGGACGGAGGCUCAGUGGUUAUGAGCACCCGCUGUUCUUGCACAGGAGUGGGGUCUAGUCCUCAGGACCACAUGGCAGCUUAUAACCAUCCAUAACUCUACUUCCAAAGGACCUGAUGCCUUUUCCUGACCUCUGUGGGCACCAGGCACCACACAUGCACAUGUACAUAUAUACAGUUAACAACACUCAUACACCGUGUGUGUGUGUGUGUGUGUGUGUGUGUGUGUGUGUGUGUCCAAGGCAGGGGACUAUGUAGCUCUGGCUGUCUUGGAACAGAGCAGACUGGCUUUGACUCAUUUGCUUCCCAAGUGCUAGAAUUAAACAUGUCCACAACACGCCCAGCUUAAAUAAACCUUAAAAGGUUUUAAAGCAAUCACUUUGGCUAGUCUAAGUCAACCUUUUCACGUCUGUGUUUUAGAAACAGGAAGCAGAGCACUGUAAAGUGUCAUUCUGUAAUUUCAACUGAGAUCCCACUGAAUCCAUGGGUAAAUUAACCCAAUUUAGGGAAAGCUUCACAGUCUCGAGUCUUGGGGGUAACAGUAUGUUUUAUACAGUCAUUGUUUUGAUUUAUUCUUUGCUGUUUUACAAUUUUCAGAUUUACAAGUAAUAGAUUUAUAAUGCUUCCACUUUCUUUUGUGGAUUGGCUUAAUAAAUGUUACUGCUCGAGUGUUUGUUUUUUUUUUCUGCAGCAGCAAAUAGCUGGCACAAAAACACAACGGAUGUUUACAUCCUGAUCAUCUAUCUGUUACUUACAGCCCUGGUAACCUCAUCCUUAGCGCUACAUCUGUCUUGGUGAAGAAGAUGCCACAGCAUUUUUCUAUGUUGAUGACCAUAACCUGCAGAGGCAGCUUCCUAGCCUCUUUGCAGUCUGCCUGCCAUACACUAGGACAUCACAGCAUGACACUCAAUGAGUAUGGGCUGCUCUUCAAACCUGACACUGCAGCACAUCAGAAAGCCCAACUCUGUCCCAGCUGAUGUGAGCAAGCAUACAGUACCACUAAGAAGCUGCCAAGCUGUGGAAUCUAAGAAAUUACAGAAUAAAAGCACACUGUUUACCAACA